rnacentral:rRNA from 1 species
GCUAAACGCGAAGAACCUUACCCAGGUUUGACAUCCCGAGAAGGCUUCCGAAAGGAAACUGUGCUUUAUUGAACUCGGUGACAGGUGAUGCAUGGCCGUCGUCAGCUCGUGUCGUGAGAUGUAUGGUUAAGUCCAUUAACGAGCGCAACCCUUAUGUUUAGUUGGAUUUUUCUAAACAGACUGCCCUGGUAACAGGGAGGAAGGAGGGGAUGAUGUCAGGUCAGUAUUUCCCUUACAUCUGGGGCUACAAACACGCUACAAUGGCCGGUACAAAGGGCAGCCAACCCGCAAGGGGGAGCUAAUCCCAUCAAAGCCGGUCUCAGUUCGGAUUGCAGGCUGAAACUCGCCUGCAUGAAGCUGGAAUCGCUAGUAACGGUAAGUCAGCACAUUACCGUGAAUACGUUCCCGGGUCUUGUACACACCG